CCUACGGGUGGCAGCAGUGAGGAAUAUUGGUCAAUGGGCGAGAGCCUGAACCAGCCAAGUCGCGUGAGGGAGUACUGCCCUAUGGGUUGUAAACCUCUUUUGUCGGGGAGUCAAAGCCGGACGUGUCCGGCUGUGAGAGUACCCGAAGAAAAAGCAUCUGCUAACGCCGUUCCAGCAGCCGCGGUAAUACGGAGGAUGCGAGCUUUAUCCGGAUUUAUUGGGUUUAAAGGGUGCGCAGGCGGAUUUUUAAGUCAGCGGUAAAAUCGUGGGGCUCAACCCCAUCCAGCCGUUGAAACUGGGGAUCUAGAGUGUGCGAGAGGUAUGCGGAAUGCGUGGUGUAGCGGUGAAAUGCAUAGAUAGCACGCAGAACCCCGAUUGCGAAGGCAGCAUACCGGUGCACAACUGACGCUCAGGCACGAAAGCGUGGGUAUCGAACAGGAUUAGAUACCCGGGUAGUC
rnacentral:rRNA from 1 species